rnacentral:lncRNA from 1 species
GUUAAGUUAACCUCGUGUUAUUUGAUAUGUGUCAUUCCUAUGUUUCCAUAACGUCAUUACAUCUUCAUUUACUA